ACACAUACCUGUCAGGGGAGAGACCGCAAUCAAGAAGGUGGUACUCCCAGGAUGUGAGGCAAAUCCAUUGCACUUGGGAUGGGUUGACUCCUGCGGUUUCCCCAAAUGAGGGAAACUCAGUUGCAUAAUUUAUGGUAACGUAGGACUGCAUUUGUGCUUUCCCUUA